rnacentral:lncRNA from 1 species
UAUUAUCUCAAAAUAAUUUACAAUGUUUCCUUAAUUAUGAAAUUACUUGUUAAAUUAUUCAUUUUUAUAGAAUGCUUGCUCCUAACCUCACCUCACUACCCAAUUUCUUUGCUGGUUAUAUAACUAGCCUAAGAACUCUAUAUUUUUCCCAAAGUUAUACAUCCCUCUCACAAAAAUUGAGGCUACACUCAACCCAUAAUUCCCAUCAAAUCAGUAUCACCC